UACGGAGGAUCCGAGCGUUAUCCGGAUUUACUGGGUUUAAAGGGUGCGUAGGCGGGCCCCUAAGUCGGCGGUGAAAGUCUGCGGCUCAACCGUAGGACUGCCGUUGAUACUGGGGGCCUUGGAUGCGGUCGAGGCGGGCGGAAUGCGCGGUGUAGCGGUGAAAUGCUUAGAUAUCGCGCAGAACGCCGAUUGCGAAGGCAGCUCGCCGGGCCGUGAUCGACGCUGAGGCACGAAAGCGUGGGGAUCGAACAGGAUUAGAUACCCUGGUAGUCCACGCCGUAAACGAUGAUGGCUGGAUGUUGGCGAUACACCGUCAGCGUCUGAGGGAAACCAUUAAGCCAUCCACCUGGGGAGUACGGCCGCAAGGCUGAA
rnacentral:rRNA from 1 species